AGCUGUGAGGGCGAGGCCAGCAGAGAGCUUCGGGAGGGACGGGCUCAGACAGGCUGGCUAGAGGGCUACAGGGAACUGGAAUAAAUAUCAGCCUUGUGAGAAGCCUGGGGGCUGGGAGUGGAGUGUGCCAGAUGAGAGAUUUGGAUGGGCAGAAAGCAGGCUUUUUGGACCUGGCUGCGCAGGCAUGGAGGUGCCUUGGCUGAAAAUAUGUGAUUGGGGAGUCAGAACCAAGAAGGUUUGGACUGUAGAUAUCCGUUCAGUGUAUGGCAGUACCCGUCUAUGCAAGGCGUAGUUCAUAGGGAUGAGGUCGGGAAACCCAGUGGCAUAGAAGUGCGCUGAGUAGCUUACAGUUUGGUUUGAAAAGAUAAAGAGCCAGGCUAUAAACUGGUGCCACCUGGAGAGGGUGUGAUCAGGCUCUUGAGAUCUGUUGAUACCAUCUCUUAGGCGUAGCUUGUGGCAGACAAGGCGCAAUGUUUUGAAGAGGAAAGACCACCCUUCCUAAUAGGCUUCAGGGAAGGCUUCCUGGAGAUGGCGGAGCUUCAGCAGGCUUGGAAGGCAAGGCUUUGAAAAUGCAGAGUGAUGUGGUCCAGGGGGGUGCCCACAGUGCCCUGGGCCAUGGCCAGGAGGAGGCCCACAAGGUCCUGGUGGGUGGACUCCCCCAGGACAGUGCCCUGGGCCAUGGCCAUGGGGAGGCCCACCAUGUCCUGGUGGGUGGAUUCCUUCAGGACAGUGCCCUGGACCGUGACCAUGGGGGUGCCCAUGACCAUGGGGGUGCCCAUGACCAGGAGGGUGGCUUGGAGGAGGACCACCAUGGCAGUGCCCCUGUGGAAAGCCAGAUGAGCAAUAUCAAAGCUUGAAGUCAAUGCCAGUUUUACCUGCAAUCAACUCCUCUUCACCCCACCACCCCAGGGGAUUAGGACUCCUGGACACCAGUGUAGGGUUGUAGUGGAGGGCUGGGGUAGAAAGUUACUGGGCUUUUUGCUUUGAUGAAGCCACUUGAGCACUGAGCAGACAAAAGGGGAGGAACCUUGAUUUAUGUGUUCUGAUUCCUUGAGCUAAGCCAGGACUCCUAGUCUCUGGAUCUCAGUUUAUUUUAUCUGUAAUUAAGAAGCAGAAUUAUCCCAUCUUUCCCCUUUGUUCACCCAGGAACUCUUGCAGGGAUUAGAAGUUUUGCCAUGCUAGAACUGUAGACUCAACUGAGCUUAGGAGCAGGGAUGUGGCUGGGAGAGGAGCUCCCCGUGGGUUGGGGCAGGGAGAUGCUAGGCCAGACUGGAGGAGACCAAGGGUAGAAGGUGUGUUCUCUGCUAUGUAGUGAAUGCACACAUUAUUUGUGUGUGUCUACAUACAAAUGGCUCUGUUUGAGUACCUGUGCAUAGGUGGGUGCAUGUAAAGGCCUGUUGUGUACUCACAUAUGUGCAUGCUUGUGUAUAUAUGAUGAUGGGUGUGUGGUGAGCCCAUGCCUCCCUCCAGCAGGGUCCAGACCAAAGGAAUCAGGAAGAACAGAAAGUAAAGUCUCAGUUUUACCCCUCACUUAGAAGAGGCCUGGGAAAUGUAUGGUUUAACCUGCCUUGUCUGGAACCACUCCUGAAGCCCCAAGGGAGUGUCUUGUCUCUAGUUACAGGCCCAGGGAAAUGGAUACACCAUCUUGCCUCUGACCUGGGGCCUGGGGCCCUAUGGAGAAGGGGUGCAGUAGCUCCCCUCUAAGUCUCCAUUAGGUCUUCAUUAGGGCUCCAGACUGCCGGGUUCCUGUGACCAUGAAAGAGCAGUCCCUGCCUCAUCCGGCCACUUCCUUCCUCUCCUUCUAUGGCUCUUUUUGUGGGGAGGCCCCAGAGCCAGGCCUGGGAGCCAGUCAGCUCUGGUAGCUAAUGGGGAGGGGGACACCCAUGGCAGAAGCCUGUCCUAGGGACCUGGCAGUGUGGCUGGGGCUUGGGAGCAAGCCAGACAUCCAGCAAGGCUGUGGGGGUAGCAGCCAGGAAAGCAGAGGAACAGAACAGGAGGGGAAGCAGCAGGAGAGAGGAUGGGCUGCUGGAGCAGGGAGGGGAAGUGAGGAAAGGAGAGAGACAGAUGGGAAAACAGAGGAGAGAAGCCAAGGAGAGGGCUGCAGCCAACAGGGCCUGGAUGAAUGCCCCGCCUCACUUGGCUGCUGCCUAAUCCUGCACUUGAUUUUUUUUUUUUUUAAGGGAAGUGGGGGUCUAGGUAGGAGGUAGGAGAUCUGGAGAACAUGGCAUUUGGGGGGAAGAAGGGGAGAGGGCUGGGGAACUUUCUUACCUUCCGACCUGUGGGAGAGAAAGAAGAAAGAAGUAGCUUUGGUCAUUUGAUCAUAUCGAUUCUGUGUCCACACCCCCACCCAUAGCAAGGCUCUUCAGAGUUGGUCACUUGCCUAAGAACCAUUCCUUCAUUUGUCACCCAACAACAGAUUCAUAUUGAAAGUCAAUAUGAAAUUCAGCAUGCAUCCCAUGAGCUCAAGAGCUGGCAGAGCGCUCUGGGUGGUGUGGGGUGUGGCCCAAGGCUGGAUGCUUGUCUGAGGCCUGGCAGCUGUCUGCUCACCUAACCAGUGCUGCAAUCCCUGAUCCUUCCUCUGCCACAUGGUCUCUCCAUUGGUCCCCUCAUGUCCCCUAUAUCCAGCCCAGUCUUUCCUCAGCCCCUCAGAGCCACUUGUUGGCUCCUUGCUCACAACUCUGGUCUCACUGCUGCCUCUUGGCACUUAGUAAUUUCUCCAGCUCCACUCUGCCUUGCUUCCUGCCAGAAAUCCACUCGGCAUGGCCGUGCAGCCUCCUAGCUGUGGGCCCAGUGGGCUGUUUCUGCAGUAGCCACCUGAGUGGUCUGAAGUAUGGCUUCUUGGUGCGUUUUUUUCAUGCUCUUGGAGGGUAGUCAACAGCAUGGCUGCGAACAGCUGGAUUCUGGGCUCCAGACCUGGCCCUGCUUCUGGGCCUCACCGCUAGCAUGACCCCUGAGUUCCCUGGGCCUCCAGUACAAGGAGAGGAGCAGCUGCCUGUUUUCUUCUUGAGAGGGAAGAUCUAGCCAAUGAAGGCUGUGUGAACGUGUUUCUUAAGCUGUAAAGCAUUGCGCCGAAUGGAAGGGGCCAUUUACAUGGCAGAGCCCCACCACCACGUCUGCGUACCCACAUACCCACAGGUCUUUGGCAUCUGGUAGAUAUGGCUGGCUGCCAGCCCCAAGCCUUCAACACUGUUCUUCCUUCUCCCACCCCAGAGCCUCCCAGCCAUGCUGCUUACCUGGAUCCAUCUUUGUGGGGCAGGAGCAGGAAGUGACACAGAAACACCUGGAAUUCAACAGAGUUUUAGUUUCUGGUGAUCUCAGUCUGUCUCCUUCCUUGUUCUCUUCCGGGGAUAUACACACACAGCCCCUUCAAAGCAUGCGUGGGCUCAGACUGUUCCCUCUGGUCUAGCCUGGCACCUCGUGUGGAACUGGCACUCCAGGUGCUUCCAUAGGUGUUAAAUGGAUGCAGAGGUUUCACCCACAAGGGGAGAGAAAAGAGACAAGAAUUGCAUUGGCCUCUGGGUCCCUUACAACUUCCCGACCCCAGAUUCACCUGCAGACUCAUGAGCAUGUUAAUUCAUUUCCAUUGGGGUCGAUUUCAAUC
rnacentral:lncRNA from 1 species